rnacentral:tRNA from 1 species
AUAAAAAUAAGCUAAAUUAAAUAAGCUCUUAGGUUCAUACCCUAAUUAUAGAUUAAUUCUUUUUUAUA